UACAGAGAGUGCAAGCGUUAAUCGGAAUUACUGGGCGUAAAGCGCGCGUAGGUGGAUAUUUAAGUCGGAUGUGAAAGCCCUGGGCUUAACCUGGGAAGUGCAUCCGAUACUGGAUGUCUAGAGUAUGGUAGAGGGAGGUGGAAUUUCCGGUGUAGCGGUGAAAUGCGUAGAUAUCGGAAGGAACACCAGUGGCGAAGGCGGCCUCCUGGACCAAUACUGACACUCAAGCGCGAAAGCGUGGGGAGCAAACAGG
rnacentral:rRNA from 1 species